UCUACUACACCUUGGCAAUCCAGGCCACCCUCCCUAAGCCAAUCAAACUCCACAACGUCACCCGUCCCAAUUUACUCACAAAACAAACACAGCCCAUCUAGCUCGUUGAUUCAUAUCGUCAACAGACCAUGAAUUAUCGUGUUAUUCCAUUUAUUUUUAAAAGCUCGUCUCAUUUUAUCUCUGCCAUUGGAUCACAAGAAUCUAACGGCCAUCGAUUUUUUCCCAUAAAUUAUUUUAAAACUCCUAACUCUCAAAAUAUCAGAGUCGUUGAUCAAAUAAUCCAAUGGCUCCCGUUCCAUCUCUUGUUUUAAUCCCUAGAGAUGACUAACUCCAACACCAAACCCUAAUUCAUUUCCCUUGCUGACCCAGCCGCCACCUUUCCUUUUCCUCUCUCUAUUCUCUCUAAUCCCUGACCCGUCAACCCCAUAAACCUUGCACCAAAUCAUGAAAGGUUGUAAAUAAUGACCCCAAAUCAUCCCUUGUGCCCUGUCACUCUGAGAAUCUUGCUAAUAUCUUCCUAUUUUAUCAUAUGAAUUUGAAAUCUCAAGUUUUCUGACUUACACUUAAAGAUAAAACUUCAAGUCUUCAAGAUCUUCUAGUGCUCCAACAAAAUCAGAGAAUGCAUGGGCAUCUCAUUAUGUUUAUUCGAAAUCAGAGGUCAAAUGCAAUUACCUCUAGAUUUCCGGACUUUGUCCGAUGGUCUUUCUUGCCUGCAAUGGUUGUCUUCCACUCAAGUAAAACUCCUAUGAUUUUCCCUUCUAAUCUUUGGAUUUUCACUGACUUUGCUCGCAUCAUCAAUCUUUUUGUCGCUCUCCACUAUCGAUUUGAAUUUUUUUUUGAACUCUAAGGCUUCAAUGGACACUAUAAAUAGAGCCUUCAAUUCUCUCACCUAACACGACCUACCACCUAAUACAGCAUAGAAAAUAAAAUAGAAUUAAAAAGCCCUAAACUUCUCACUGAUUUUCUUUUCUUUCUCCGGUUCUGAGUUCAUACACUGUCUGGACUUGAGUUUUUGUUUCCUAACGGCUAAAUAAAAGGCUUUGCUUGAUUUGCUGCUCUGCAAAAGGUCGGUGUACACUGACCCUCCCUUUCACUUAAAUUAUGUUUCUUUAUUUAGUGAUUUUGAUGUAUUCUCUUGGGUCAUAAUACAUGUUUGGUAAUUUUUGGAUUGCCUAUUAUAUUCUCUGUCGUUCUUAUUAACAUAAAUGGUUAUCCUCAUGGUAAUCAUGUAUUUCUAGUUAACAUGUGACUUAAUUGGAUAACACCUGCUAUAAUGAAAUUGUAAAAUUUUUUGUUGAACUUUUGUUACUACUUUAAAAGACUUCUGAUGUUCUUUUAACCUUGCCACCAUGCUAACUUGACUAAACCGUGAUCUCAGACCCAUAUAAUGUUUUGCUAGGAACUUAUGUUUGCUAAUUCUGUAUUGCACUAGUUGUAGGGUUUAAUUAUGUUAUACUAUUAUUGAUCCAUGCCAUGCUUAACCUGUAUACCUUGAACGAUAUUUAUUAUGUACACUUAAGGAUCCAAUGUGAGUUUAUUAUUGUAGUCUGAACUCACUAGUUUAGUUGUCAGGCUAUCUGCUUUUCAACUAUGUCAUGUCAUCUUGUGAGUCUUGAAAAACAUCACUGCACAAUGAGCUUGCGUUUCUUUUGUUAGGUCUUGCAUUUAUGUAUAUGCCUAGCUAUACUUAUGAGCAUUCUUAUCUGAAGGAUUAAUGUCUAAGCCACUAUACUUUUAUUUAUUCAUAGAAGAGUAAGUUGAACCUUACGAGUUUUGACAGCUUAACAAAAUGAAGAAUUUGAGGAGAGAAGCUACUGUUUGAACUCAUAGGCUCUAACAAAUUCUUAAUGUAUGUUUCCCCAGUUAAAAUGAAUAUUAUUCUAUGUUAAUUGAUUACCUCUAUUCGUAUAGGGUUAGUUAUGAUUCUGGAUGUUUUGAUUAAGAAUUUAAGGAACUAGUGAUCCUACUACUAUGUUUGUAUCAUACUAAGAUUGACCUUCUUGCCUACAUGUGUAUCACUCCCUAAACUGACCAUACCAAGUUAAACUUUAUCAUGUUUGGGUUGAUGCAUUCACCUGUGUAACUGGACUAGUAAUCUUACUAUUAGUACCUUGCUUACUUCAUGUGAAAUCUCCAUUGUUCUAAACUCUUAUACUGAAUUUGUUGGCUUGACCCUAUGCUCCAUCAUGUUGUAGUUUUACACUCCUUAGGGAUAUAUUUGUAUGAGCUUGAUUGUCUGCACUUGGACUGCUAUGCUAAUUCUGUUAUCAAACACUCUCUGCUUAUCUUUCAUACUCAUGCCUAUGUACUUCAUUGCCCUAUCACAUAAUGAAGAUUGUAUAAGUCAACUAUAAUUCAUUUAUGGAUUUGAGAUAAUCUUCUGAUCAUAUUUGUUUUUCUUGAGUAGGAUGUUAUGCCUUGACUCUUACUGAACCCGGCGAGAAUGUGAUAUCAUGAAUGAUUUAUGGAGAAAGUGAUCGCCUAUUAGAGUUGAAAUCAAUUUGCUAAUUUACAUAAUCAUGUUGAUGCUCUCUAAAGAUCCUAUAUAAAAUUGUUAAUUCAUACACCUAUUAGAAUCCAAGACUUCCAUGUGUUUAAACCCCUGAUCAACUUAAGCCUGGAACUGUUAAGCAUGAGGACCCUCUGUAAAUUUGAACUAUGUACCUAUUCUAUUUCAUAAGUUGUUUGACUCAAUAGUCUGACCUUUCGAAAUGAUCUGCCACUAAUCGUUUCCCUUAAUUAUACGUGUUAUCAUUUUCUUUGGAUGUUCUUCUGUAUAUAGGUGGUUCUUAACAAUGAACUACACACUGGUGUUUAAGUUGUGAUUUCUUUAGUAUUGUCUGUUAUUACAUCUUCAAAAUAACAUUCAACAUAGUUUCUCUUGGAAGUACAGAUGCCUAAGCAUGUGUAUGAUUGUUACAGUUGUACUAAAAUUUGCAUUGAAUGCCUCAUUGGCUUUUAAACCUAUAGGGAAGAGUAAGUGUGAGUGGAUAGGUGUAUUUACGAGUGAGAUUUAGUUUGUAGUUGAGAUACUCUCCUUGACACAUGCACUGCUCGGGGUCAUUGAGACCCUUGUGAAAUUUGAAGUGUCAGGGGCUCAAAGAGUGUCUUGGAUAUAAAUGUAAUCUCAUCUUAAGCCCUUAAUCAUUGACAGUUACUAAUCUCUUUAGGGUUAGUGUUUAAUGAAGAAAAAGGCUUCACUAUAACUUUCCUUACUCUGCCCGAUCAUACACAAGCUUAUUUACAUUUUUAACAACAAAUAUUUGUUAUAGUCUCAUUUGGACCUUAUGUUUGAUCUUAUCUUCCUUUCAACAUUUUGUUGGGUUUUUGUCACUAAUUUCUUCCUUUUUCUCUUGAACAUAUAACUGAACUGGGCCUGCUGAGGUUUCAAAAAUUCAGGCCCAAGUUCCAGCCUUUGAGUUUGAUGUCAUGGGAGCCGUUGCUGCUUGUAUGUUGUUUGCUGGGCCUAACCUUCUUCAGACCCAAAUUAUUGAGUCCAAUUCCCUUUCCUUCCUCAUUAGAAGAAUUAAAUCUGUUAUCUUUUCUUUACAUGAGUAUAAUACAAACAAAAUUGAUUGAAUGUUUUAUUUUUCCUCAAACCUUCAAGGAACCUAGACAAGCCAAGAUCUAUAGGUAAUAAAAGAAAUCACUAUUACAUUACGAUUAGUUAUAAUAUUUUGGCGCUUUGGUCAUUAUUCUUCAUUACAUAAGAUUUCACUUUUCAUUAUACUAACCAUUUUAAUGAAGUUCUUUGAAGUUCAAAACAGAUUUUGAAAAGAAAUGUAAUUCUUCUUCUAAAGCCGGAAUUGAAAAAGAAGAUUUCAAAGUCAGCUCUUUCUAUAAAUAAAAAUCAACUCGAUUGGAA
rnacentral:lncRNA from 1 species